AUUUUACGAACAUAGUCAAUUGAAGCAUAGAAAAAUUAAAUUGUGAAAGUGGCCACGUCUACAUACGCGAUUGAAUUUUAAUCAAUUUGCUGCGAUCUGUGAUUCGAAUUUAGAAGAAAAAGUAAUAUGUGCAUUUUGAAGAAUGCCCAUUCAGGCGCCUUCAUGGACAGAUUUUCUCUUUUGCCCAAUUUGUUGCAAUGAAUUUGCUGUUAAUCACCGUCUACCAAUAAGUCUGGGAUGUGGUCAUACAAUAUGUCGCCAGUGUCUGGCCAACUUACACAACCGCCAAUGCCCCUUCGAUCAAACCACCAUCACAACCGAUGUCG